rnacentral:rRNA from 1 species
GCUGGCGGCGUGCCUAAUACAUGCAAGUCGAGCGGACAGAAGGGAGCUUGCUCCCGGAUGUUAGCGGCGGACGGGUGAGUAACACGUGGGUAACCUGCCUGUAAGACUGGGAUAACUCCGGGAAACCGGAGCUAAUACCGGAUAGUUCCUUGAACCGCAUGGUUCAAGGAUGAAAGACGGUUUCGGCUGUCACUUACAGAUGGACCCGCGGCGCAUUAGCUAGUUGGUGAGGUAACGGCUCACCAAGGCGACGAUGCGUAGCCGACCUGAGAGGGUGAUCGGCCACACUGGGACUGAGACACGGCCCAGACUCCUACGGGAGGCAGCAGUAGGGAAUCUUCCGCAAUGGACGAAAGUCUGACGGAGCAACGCCGCGUGAGUGAUGAAGGUUUUCGGAUCGUAAAGCUCUGUUGUUAGGGAAGAACAAGUGCAAGAGUAACUGCUUGCACCUUGACGGUACCUAACCAGAAAGCCACGGCUAACUACGUGCCAGCAGCCGCGGUAAUAC